AUCAUUCAUCUUUGCAUCACUCUCAGCCGCAUCAGCCACCCCAAUCAUCAGCAGGACAAUCUUCAACUACUGAACCGGUACUCCAACCAGCGCAACCCUCCUGGCAAACGGCUCAUCAAGCUGCUUCAUACUCUCAUAUGGAGAUCGCAGCAGAUGAUCAAAUUUUGUUGGCAACAGCUAUGGUUUUGGUAAAGGAUGCCACAGGUGAAUACAAACUCGGUAGAGCGUUGCUUGAUUCAUGUUCUCAGGUUAAUUUUGUAACCGAAACCUUUGCACAAAAGCUUCGCCUUCGUCGUGAAAAACACCACAUUGGAAUUCGCAGUAUAGGAGACUCCCUUACUAGUUUGAAGGCUCGUACGACUACCUCUAUUAAGUCACGUACUUCCGGCUAUCAGCUCACUCUCCAGUUUGGAAUCACAUCCCAUAUUGCCUACCAGCCAGAUAAUGAGAUCGACAUAUCGAAUUGGAACCUACCAGCUAACAAUCCAUUGGCUGACGAAUCGUUCUAUAGGACUAAACGUAUUGAUUUGUUACUGGGGACCGAAGCCUUCUAUGGAGCUCUAGCUGUUGGCCAGAUUCGCAUUGGUCCAAAUCUUCCCACUUUGCAGAAGACUCUUUUUGGUUGGGUUGUUGCUGGGAGGUACCAGCGGCAAUAUAACAGACAGCCACCAUUGUGCUUGGCGACUUUGCAGCAAUUCCACCAUUUGCAGCAAUUAUGGAAAGUGGACUCAAAUGUCGAUCCAAGCGCUAGAAUGCUCCCAAAUCAUCGUCGCUGUGAGGACCAUUUCAGGGACACAACCCAUCAGGAUGCCAGUGGGCGGAUUGUCGUUCGCUUGCCAUUUCAAGAAGAUCCAAGUUGUCUUGGAAGUUCCUUCGAUACAGCUCGAACUCGAUUUUUUGCCAUUGAGAGACGUCUCGCUCGUCUACCGGAAAUUCGCUCGCAGUAUAUCUCGUUCAUGCAGGAAUAUGAAAUUCUCGGCCAUAUGUCCCUCGUACUGAAUCUUAACUUGGAAGAACCGCAUUAUUAUAUACCCCACCAUUUCGUUCUGAAACCAAGCAGUACCUCGACGAAGCUCAGAGUUGUCUUUGACGCCUCUUGCCGUACAACAUCUCAAAGGUCACUUAACGAUCUACUUUUAGUCGGCCCUACCAUUCAGGAUGAGUUGUACUUGCAAUUGCUGCGGUUCCGCAUGCAUAGGUUCGGCAUCACAGCCGACGUCACAAAAAUGUACAGGCAGGUACUUGUGAGUGAGAAGGAUAGAAAAUUCCAGUACAUUUUGUUGCGAGCAUCUCCAAAUACGGAUCUUCAAACCUACCAACUCAAUACAGUGACAUAUGGGACUGCGUCUGCCCCAUUUCUCGCAACUCGUAGUUUGCAUUAAAACUGCUGCUGUUAAAACUGCAUUUUAUGUUGAUGACCUUUUGUGUGGGGCUGAUGAUAUAGACUCUUCAAACUAAAAACUGAAAUCACAUCAACUCUUGCUCGUGGUCAGUUUCCAUUAUGCAAGUGGCAUUCAAAUCAUCCAGGCGUGAUUGAAGACGAAUCUACCAACGAAAUAAACAUUUCAGAAAACUCAGUCAGCAGCACACUCGGCGUAACUUGGCAUCAACGAAGGGAUGCAUUUAGUUUCACAUUUAAUCCAAAGGAAGUCUAUCCCACUACCACAAAACGAACAAUUUUGUCUACUGCGUCGUCGCUAUUCGAUCCAAUCGGUCUGCUAUCACCGUUAGUCAUUGUCUCUAAGAUCAUUCUUCAGGAGUUGUGGCUUUUGAAACUCGACUGGGACGAGUCUGUCCCCCAGAAUUUAAGCCACGCUUGAAGCAAGUGUUUGGAAUCGCUGAAUUCACUGUCGUCACUAGCGGUACCUCGUUUUUGUUUGCAGCCUGAUACUAGGAGCAUUCAAAUACAUGGAUUUUGCGACGCAUCGAUUCGGGCAUACGGCUGCUGUGUUUAUGUGCGCACGGAGAAUUCGCUUGGACAGGUCACAGUGAAAUUGUUCACUUCUAAGUCUAGAGUAGCACCAGUGAAGAAACAGUCUCUUCCGAAGCUUGAACUAUGCGGCGCACAUCUACUUUCUCAGUUUUAUAACAAAUAUUCAUAUUCAGUAAUUACACUAUCACAUCUUAUUUUUGGAGCGACUCACAGCUCGUAUUGCAUUGGCUGCAACAACACUCAGUCACCUUAUCGACUUUUGUUGGAAAUCGAGUGUCCGAUAUUCAGGAUUUAACGUCUGAUGGAAAAUGGCGCUAUGUGCCAACACAUCAAAACCCUGCUGAUAUUCUGUCGCGAGGCUGUAACGUGAGCGAGUUGAUUAAGUCUCCAUGGUUUUCGGGUCCUACGUUUCUAGUCGAAGAUUUACUAAACUGGCCCGCCACUGGUGGAAAACUUGAUAUUGACAUGGACGUGGUUAACUCGGAGAAUCGGAAAAGUUUGUUUGCUGCCGUACACGAGACAAAUAAUAUCCUCAACAUCGUCGAUAAUAUUAGCUCGUACACUCACAGUCUGCGUCUCAUUGCUUGGAUGAUUAGGUUCAUAAGGAGAUGUCGGAAGCAAUCGACGUUUACCACAACCUCACCGACGCCAGAUGAACUUCGUUUUGCAUCACAUUGCCUUAUUUGGAACAUUCAACAAACUCAUUUUGUAGAGGACAUCCGUUUACUUCAGAAGCAAAAACCAUUAAAAAGCAGCUUAAAGUUUCUUACUCCCUUUUUAGAAGUCGUGAACGGAUUCGAACUUAUCAAGGUUGGUGGACGUUUGGAAUACUAAGACCUACAAGACGGUCAAAAACAUCCGUUGCUGCUGCCUAGUCAGUCCUAAUUUGUAUGGAACUAUAUUCGCCAUUUGCAUCUUCGGAACUAUCACGCUGGACAUUAAGCCCUAGUCGCUCUCAUUCGUUUGGAGUAUUGGAUCGUUAACGCCAGAGACUUGGCACGUAGAAUUGUUCGCUCCUGUGUACACUGCGUUCGCUACAGACCGAAGCUGCUACAACAACUCAUGGGCUCAUUACCGACUACGCGACUCGCUCCUGCUCGACCCUUUGAACGCUGUGGAGUUGACUUUUGUGGACCCAUCAACACAUAUCUACGCAUUCGAGGAAAGGGACCUACAAAAGCAUACAUAGCCGUGUUCGUUUGCCUUCUCACCAAGGCCGUUCACAUCGAAGUAGUCUCUGAUUUGUCAACAAAGGCGUUCUUAAACGCAUUGAAACGGAUGGGAGGUCGUCGUAAGCUGCCGACAGACAUCUUCUGCGAUAAUGCCACUAACUUUGGCACCUUAUUUCGGAGGCCUUUGGGAAGCGGCAGUCAAGAGUGCAAAGGGGCUGUUAAAUCGUACGCUGGCCAACACCAGGUUCACCUUUGAAGAGUUGAGCACUGUCGUCGUCGAGAUAGAAUCGAUCCUCAACUCGCGCCCGCUAUCGCCGCUUUCGUCAGACCCAAAUGACUAUAGCACUCUCACGGCUGGUCAUCUCUUGGUUGGCGAAUCAUUGCGAUCACUACCUGAAAGGUCCCUCGAGAAUAUCAAGCUGUCAAGUUCAACGAAUUGCGAUCGCGCACGAAGUGGACAGCACCCUCAACGAACCUCACCGAGGGCACGUUGGUCAUCAUCCAUGAGGACAACCUGCCACCGCUACGCUGGAAACUAGGCCGAGUGCAGUCUACUGUGCUUGGGAAGGAUGGACUUGUACGAGUGGUGCACCUCCGCACUGCAAAUGGAACAUGUUGCAGGCCAAUACACAAGUUGGCAAUUCUUCCGGUGGUUUGAAAGCAGUCCUUUCAACGGGGCCGGGAUGUUCGGUGAAACUCCUUUAAGGAACAAGUAUUCAAAUGACCCUCGUAAAAUAGAGAGCCUACGCUCACUUUUUGUAUUUACUCUCACCAUAAUUGUACUAAAUUCACCACUGUAUUCUCUCUCUUAUGCCCAGUACUCAAGCAGUAAGAUUUGUAAUAAAUAGUUAUUCCCUAAUACUCAACUGGA